UUUUUUUUUUUUUUUUUGGUCUUUUCCCAUUACAUUGUUCUGGUGGGUUUUGUUCUGUUUAUUACAAUGAUCUUUUUUUGGAGUUUCACCCCUUUUUAAUUUGCAGAAGAGUAAUUCUAAAUUAUGUAAUACAUACUUCUACUUCCUAAAACCUGUUCCUUUCCUUAUAAAAGGAAAAUUUAAUGGGUAAGAGCAAAUGGAUUUUUGGGACACAUUUUUAAUAUUUAACAUAGUGAACAUGCAUUUAUAGACAGAAGUGACAGUUAAACUUCUAGGAAAUGGAGACAGCAUACAAAAAGUUGUAAAGUAUUCCUUCAGUUUCACAUAGCACAUUACUUUGGUAAUUUAUUUUCUCAACAUUGGAAAAAAGUUACAGUUUGGUAAGAUAAGAAGGAAACAUAAUUUUACCUAAAUAUUAGACUUAGAAAUUGGUCCUUUUUCUUUAGAGUUUGUAUGUGUUUCAUUGGAAAAAUCUGAACUAUUUUUAUGUACAUUUCAAUAGAAAUGUUAAUUUUGAGUGUUCACUUGAUACUUCAACAGCCCAAAAGUACAUGAACUUUAAAAAAGGAGAACUUUUUGAUUACAUUCUAGAAAUGCUAAGUGGCAUUGGAUUUUCUUCCUUGAACUUAGUUUCUUGCUACUGCACAAUACUUAUCCAUCUUGCAUUUCAUAAGCUUAGUAGUAAAGGUCUGUAGCAAAAGUGAGUAACAGUAUUUGAACCUAAAGAAAAUGAAAUAAGGAAAUAAAUUUGCUGUCCAAAUAAAAUUAAUCUUACAAUGAAAAUUAAGAGACUAGAUAGUUUUUUUUCCUCCCCAGUCAUCUUUCUGCCAAUACUUAUUAAGUUUACUUCUCACACUUUAUAUUGGAUUUAUUACCAUGUCCACCAUUUGGAAAAUAUUAUGUUAAUGUUUAUUUUAACAGAGUUUUAGUGGAAAAAAGAAUUUAAAAUUAUCUAGCUGGUUAUCCUUUUUCAAAUUAACCUAAGUAUCAAAAACCCUAAGUGGCAAACUAGCCUGAGUCCACACAAAGUAAUUAAUAAUAAAAUCAACUCUAAAAUGAAAGUAUCCAGAGUUUUGAAGCACACAGUUUUUUAAUUUUUGUUUUAAGAUUAAUGCCUACAUGGACGCACAUGUGUGCGCGCACACACAAACACACACACACACACGCGUGCCUGCUACCCAUGGCAGUCUGAAGGUGUGUUGGAUCCCUUGGAAGUAGAGUUACCAGGUAGUGGUGAGCAGUCUGAUAUGCGUGCUGGAAACAAAACCCUUGUCCUCUUCAAGAGCAGCAAGUGCUUUUAACCGCUGAGUCAUUAUCGAGUCCCACAAUUUCCAUUAUAAAAUUAAUUUUAUUUGGGAAUUUACUUGGGUGUAACACAUUUGUUUCCUUAUUUAAUUUUCUGUUAGUGAUUUUUGCUAUUGACCUUUACUACUAAGCUUGUGAAAUGCAAGAUGAAUAAUUAUUUGUUGUGCAGUGGCAAGAAAUUAAGUAUUAGUUAAUUCACCUGGAAACAUCUCUCACUAGAUAUUAUGCUAUUUAAAUAAGAGUCACUUAAAAGUGCUUGCUUCAUGUUGGAGAGAUGCCUCAGCAGUUAAGAGCGUGCAUUAUUUCCCCAGAAUUUGAAAUGCUGGAAUUUGGUUCUUAGCACCUACUUUGGAUGGCUCCCAACCACCUUUCAUUUAACUUAAGUUCCAUGAGAUCAGAUGCCCUCUUCUCAGCCUUUGCAGGCACUACACUCAUGCACAAACCCCAUACUCAGAUACCACAUACACACAGCACUUAAAAUUAAAAAGAC
rnacentral:lncRNA from 1 species